rnacentral:lncRNA from 1 species
GUUUGACUAACCAAGCUGUAUUAUAGAGUCACAGAAUCACAGAAUGGUGUAGUUUGGAAGGGACUUCUGAAGGUCAUCUGGUCCUCUGGAGGUCAUCCAGUCCAACCACCAACCUGUUAUUAUGGAGAACUGUGUUUUCAGUCUUGUGUUUAUAUUACUCAACUUCAAUACUUUGUAGUGGACUAUUUAAGAGAUCAAAAUUUUUCUAUAUGAGAAGAUCUAGAUUUCAAGUUCUUAUUCUGCUUGGAUCAGUGGCAAACUUCCUCUGAGUUCAGGAAAUCCAGAUACGCACCUGGGCUAAACAAAAGGAAUUCCAUUGGUAUCAGGAAUGCUCUUUUAAUUUAGGGAUGUGAGGAUCUGGGCCCAAGGUCAUUUAUUAAUUGAAUAUGGAAGACACUGGAGUAGUUUAAGGGUUCUAAUGACAAUACGAUUAUCUGCAGUGGAAACAUUUGUUGGUGUUUUCUUUUUUGCUCUCUUUCAAGCAUGUGUGGGGGAGUGGGUAUAUUGCAUUAGAAAGUAUUCCUGAUGACAAAUACUUUGGAGCAAGGAGAUGAAGCAAUUACAGUAGAUGGGAGCCUGAUGGGUGGGAAUGGGGGAGGGGGUAUUCACUCUGGGUCUACAGUUUCUGUAAGAGUUUAGGACAGUUUUCACAUAUUUAUCCAAGAUGGCCUUUGAAGUGUCUUGUGGUAAACAGUUGGAGGUCUUCUGUCACUGAGAGUGUCAAGGGGCCUUGAAGAUUUAUAACACAUCUUUUCCAGCAGAAUGUAAUUGCUGAUACAGGAGAGAGGCUGAAACAGUUCUUUAAAUGCAGACCAAAUUUUGCUUUUUCACUAUUGUACUGAGAACUGAAAAUGGCAGUAGUGGCACAUUCCUUCCACUGGUUGAAUGGGAUGUGUAAACUACUGUCCACUUUCUUUAACCAUAAGUUUCUCGGAGAUAAAAUACUCUAUCAUGUCUCUUAGGUUCAAUGCUCAGCAACUGGCAAUGCAUUCAUGUCAGAUAUCCACAAGAGACCUAGCUUUAUUAACCUUGUUAUCUACAUUAGCCCCAAGAAAGGACUCAAGACCAGAAUUUCCCAUGUGUUAAUUGUCUACAGCAGCACCCUCUGGGCCAGUUCAGAGGUCUCAAAAAUCAUGAAGAAUCUGAACAUAGCACAAAGGCCCUCAUAUAUUGUUAACAAGAUGGAAACAAUCACACCUCAGAUGUGAGAAAAAAUCAAGGAUCUCAUUAUGUUCAAAUAAAGGAACAGAAUAAGCACCA